UACGUAGGGUGCGAGCGUUGUCCGGAAUUAUUGGGCGUAAAGAGCUUGUAGGCGGUUUGUCGCGUCUGCUGUGAAAAUCCGGGGCUCAACCCCGGACUUGCAGUGGGUACGGGCAGACUAGAGUGUGGUAGGGGAGUCUGGAAUUCCUGGUGUAGCGGUGAAAUGCGCAGAUAUCAGGAGGAACACCGGUGGCGAAGGCGGGACUCUGGGCCGAUACUGACGCUGAGGAACGAAAGCGUGGGGAGCAAACAGG
rnacentral:rRNA from 1 species